GGCCCUUUAGCUCAGAUGGUUAGAGCAGUCGACUCAUAAUCGAUUGGUCACUGGUUCAAAUCCAGUAAGGGCCA
rnacentral:tRNA from 1 species